UGAAGCUCAUUUCUCUAUUCUUUAAUCCAGUGGUAAUUUGGCUUACAGCUAUUCAGCUCUGAGCACUGAGGACAAAUGCACUAAUAAUUUAAUAAGUAAUAAAUCUGCCCUGAAGAGUACAAAGUAACAUCAAGCUGUUUUUUAUACCAACAGGAAAGAGGCAAGAAACUCCAGAAGCAGAUCAACACUGCUCUUCAAAUCCGAUCCUUGAACACAGAGGUUCAGAAAACAUCAGGCAGAAAGAAAUUGUGAUUGUAAUUCCCCUGUUUAUAUUUUUCUAAUUGGCAAAGGAUACUACUGGAUAUUAAGAACAGCAAGUACUUCAGGUCUAC